rnacentral:rRNA from 1 species
GUAGUCUGCAACUCGACUACAUGAAGCUGGAAUCGCUAGUAAUCGCGGAUCAGAAUGCCGCGGUGAAUACGUUCCCGGGUCUUGUACACACCGCCCGUCACACCAUGGGAGUCAGUAACGCCCGAAGCCGGUGACCCAACCUAUCAGGAGGGAGCCGUCGAAGGCGGGACGGAUGACUGGGGUGAAGUCGUAACAAGGUACC